rnacentral:misc_RNA from 1 species
UCGAGUCAACCAUGUGCGGGCGGCCAGGAUCACCACCCAGCCUGGCGGGAUCUCAGGCUCUGCUCCUGCUGCCCCUCCUGCUACUGCUGGUGCUGCUGCCCCCGCCCCCCGCAGCCGCCGCGCCCUCCGCCGUGGCCGUUCGCGCCCCCGCCCGCGGCCCGCCUCGCACCCAGUACCUGGAGGCGAUUCGGCCCGUCAUGCGAGGCAGCGACGCGGCGCCGCUCGAGCCGCAUGGUCAGCAGGGCAUCCAGCAAGAGGGCAUCCAGCAGGGCAUUCCAGAGGGCAUCCAGGAGGUCCCAGAGAUGGUCUCGGCGCCCCGGAAGAGAGCCGCCAUCGUCUUGGAUAAACUGAUGUUCGCUCUCCAGAAAGCCCUGGAUGACAACCCGCCACCAGCACCCGGGCCUCAUCCACCAGCCUAUCCAAGGUCACGACCCUUCGCUGGAACGAUGGACCUACAACGGCGAGGCAACGGGGACGGUCGGCUCUACUGGCGGUGUUAUUUCAACGCGGUCUCCUGCUUCUAGUCGGCGGGUCACGUGCUACGGUGUAGAAGCCCCGACCAUGUAAACAAACAAACAAACAAACAAUCGAAUUUGCUGGAAGACAGAGAUGGUUACUUGACACUUGAUAAAUCUAUGCGUGGUAUCUCUUUUUUAAUGUUUAUUAUAAGCAGUUGUACUUAUUUUGAUUAGAUUUAUAUUUCGAUAGCAUGGUGUCUGGAUGCUUUAACAAGUCUCUGGAUGCUUUAACAAGUGUCCGAAUGCUUUAACAGGUUUCUGGAUGCUAUAACAGGUGUCUGGAUGCUAUAACAAGUGUCUGGAUACUUAAAUGAGUGUCUGGAUGCCAUAAAAAAGUGUCUGCAUGCUGUAACAAGUGUCUAGAUACUUAUACAGCUGUCUGGAUGCUAUAACAAGUGUCUAGAUGCUAUAAUAAGUGUCUAGCUGCUUAUAUAGGUGUUUGGAUGCUAUAACAAGUGUCUAGAUACUUAUACAGCUGUCCGGAUGCUAUAACAAGUGUCUAAAUACUUAUACAGGUGUCUGGAUGCUAUAACAAGUGUCUAGAUACUUAUACAGGUGUCAGGAUGCUUUAACAGGUGUUUGGCAGCUUCACCAAGUGUUUAGUUCUCAGAAGAUUAACAAACCGCUGUGAAACCGGAUAUCAUUGGGUCCUUGACCUCUUCAAAUAUAAUAAUCCAAACAUCAUUUUCCUGUAAUAUCGUUUUCCCUUUUGUGAUUCAUCAAGGUUACCGUGUUGUUUAAAAUGCUGUACAUAUACUUAGGGAAGUGUUGUCAUGACUCCCAUUAUUCAGUUACAUAAUCGGUGUCGAUCAUGAAUCAAGCAAAAUGCAUGAUCUUUCUUUGAGUUCAAGCAACGGGAACACAAGUCAUGCACGUGGAUUUCGCACCAUGUCUCGCGCCCAAUCGUGUAAUCUUUGGGACAUAAAAACGUUUCUUCAGAUGAUGCAUCUCCUUCGAAAACAUUUUCUCAAGAUUUUUCAGAAAUUAUUAUGAUGUUGAGUAUGGUGCAUAUAGCGAUGCAGUAGGAAGAAAAAUUAUAUAUAUAAUCGUCUCUCUCUCUCUCUCUUUCUCUUUCUCUCUGUUUUUCCUCUUUUUUCUCUUCUCUUCUUUCUCUCUCUCUCUCUCUCUCUCUCUCUCUCUCUCUCUCUC